rnacentral:rRNA from 1 species
AUUGAACGCUGGCGGCAUGCUUUACACAUGCAAGUCGAACGGUAACAGGUUAAGCUGACGAGUGGCGAACGGGUGAGUAAUGCAUCGGAACGUGCCCGGUCGUGGGGGAUAACGCAGCGAAAGCUGCGCUAAUACCGCAUACGAUCUGAGGAUGAAAGCGGGGGACCGUAAGGCCUCGUGCGAUCGGAGCGGCCGAUGUCGGAUUAGGUAGUUGGUGGGGUAAAGGCUCACCAAGCCAACGAUCUGUAGCUGGUCUGAGAGGACGACCAGCCACACUGGGACUGAGACACGGCCCAGACUCCUACGGGAGGCAGCAGUGGGGAAUUUUGGACAAUGGGCGAAAGCCUGAUCCAGCAAUGCCGCGUGCAGGAAGAAGGCCUUCGGGUUGUAAACUGCUUUUGUACGGAGCGAAAAGGUCUCCUCUAAUACAGGGGGCUCAUGACGGUACCGUAAGAAUAAGCACCGGCUAACUACGUGCCAGCCGCCGCAGUAA